rnacentral:lncRNA from 1 species
CCGUCACCAUCUGGGCCUGCCUGUGCGCCUCCAGGCGGUGUGGGUCUUUGCUCUAGAACUGUGCCACCCGACCCCUUCCUUUAGCCGGGGUCUCACGCCCACAGCAUGUGGCAUCGUGAUGUCAGCGUCUCCCCAGCAGAUAGGGGUCUCCAACGACUGGGGAGGGGCAGGUCAGUCCACCUCCACCCAGGGACCGAAGCAGGACAAAGGGCCCUGCAUCCCCGAAGCUCCCACCCUUUCGGGCCCUGCACCAGGUACCCUGGACCCUGGCAUUCCGGGACGUUAUUCCCGUGACACCCCAGGGUGGGUUGUGUGGAUGGAGACCGGAUGUGCAUGCCCCUCGUGGCACUGGUUGGAGCCCUGAGUAGCAAAAGAGACGUCAGAACCAACUCCCCUGAGUGGCCCCAAAGCCUAUUCUCAAGGAAGCCACAGCAGGGCCAGGAGGGUAGUCACCCGGUGGGUUACAAACUGGGCAGCCCACGCCCAGCACUGGAGGUUGCUCUGGCCCUGGGAGCACUCCCACCGGUCCAUGAAGAACUGCAGCCAGCCAGGGGCCUAGAAGGACCCACAGCAGGGACCAUGGUGAGGGGUACAGAGACGGCGGGAGGGGCACGGCCAUGCUCAGGGUGACCGAGUGACAUCUCUGCUCUAAGAUCAGGGGCUGCCCUGGGGAGCCCAGCUGAGGAGGGGCACGGGAGGGUGGAGGGGUCUGCCCACUGAGGGGCACCAGCGAUCACCCGUGACCCAAGAAGAGCUGGAAGAAAAAACCUUCCCUUCUCAUCUCAUCCUUCCUCCCUGCCACACCCCGACACCCUCAGCAAAACAAGACUGCAGACAGAGACCAGCAGCCCCCCUCCCCAAGAGGUUGUGAAUCCAGGCAGCUGGAGAGGGGGAGAGACCAGCUGUCACCAAGACCAACAGUAGCCUCAAAUCCCUGGGGCUGCCUGCUCCACACCCCAAGUCUCCCCCAAGCAACCCAGGAUGCAGCUGGGGUCGCGGGUCCGCCCCAGCUGGGGGCCGUCUACAACCCAAGCAAGAGGCGCAGAGCAGCCCUGGAAGGGACCCCACUCCCAUCUCAACCACUGGGCCCUGACAGCUCCCAAGGGCCUCAGUCUGGGGACGGGGUCUGGCUGUGGGAGCGCGGCUGGAGCAGACCACGGGAUUGGGGCUCGCGCCCCUCCAGGGAACAUGCCGCCGUGUCGCCAUCUUGCAAGGCACAGGCGGGGAG